rnacentral:rRNA from 1 species
AUUGAACGCUGGCGGCAGGCCUAACACAUGCAAGUCGAGCGAGCGGCGGACGGGUGAGUAAUGUAUGGGGACUGCCCGAUAGAGGGGGAUCACUACUGGAAACGGUGGCUAAUACCGGAAACUGGCGGAUAACCCAUAUGGGAUUGGCUAUUGGGUAAGGUAAUGGCUUACCUAGGCGACGAUCCCUAGCUGGUCUGAGCGGAUGAUCAGCCACACCGAGACUGAGACACGGCCCAGACUCCUACGGAGGCAGCAGUGGGGAAUAUUGCACAAUGGGCGCAAGCCUAAUGCAGCCAUGCCGCGUGUAUGAAGAAGGCCCUAGGGUUGUAAAGUACUUUCGGUCGGGAGGCGUUACCGACAGAAGAAGCACCGGCUAACUCCGUGCCAGCAGCCGCGGUAAUUC